rnacentral:misc_RNA from 1 species
GAAAAUCCACAGAUGAUGGCCUCCUAUUCAGUUUCUGAUGCUGUUGCAACUUAUUUUUUGUACAUGACCUAUGUUCAUCCAUUCAUUUUUUCCCUUGCAACUAUAAUUCCUAUGUCACCUGAUGAGGUUUUGCGCAAAGGCAGUGGAACACUUUGUGAAAUGCUUCUUAUGGUGCAGUCCUACAAGGCAAAUGUUAUCUGCCCUAACAAACACCAAUCUGACCCUGAGAAGUUCUAUAAGAACCACCUUCUUGAGAGCGAGACAUAUAUUGGUGGCCAUGUGGAGUGCCUUGAAAGUGGUGUUUUUAGAUCUGAUCUACCUACUAGUUUUAAGCUUGAUCCAUCAGCAUAUGAUCAAUUGAUUGGAAACCUUGAUCGAGAUCUUCAAUAUUCCAUAAGAGUAGAG